rnacentral:rRNA from 1 species
AUUGAACGCUGGCGGCAGGCCUAACACAUGCAAGUCGAACGGUAACAGGAAGCAGCUUGCUGCUUUGUUGACGAGUGGCGGACGGGUGAGUAAUGUCUGGGAAACUGCCCGAUGGAGGGGGAUAACUACUGGAAACGGUAGCUAAUACCGCAUAACGUCGCAAGACCAAAGAGGGGGACCUUAGGGCCUCUUGCCAUCGGAUGUGCCCAGAUGGGAUUAGCUAGUAGGUGGGGUAACGGCUCACCUAGGCGACGAUCCCUAGCUGGUCUGAGAGGAUGACCAGCCACACUGGAACUGAGACACGGUCCAGACUCCUACGGGAGGCAGCAGUGGGGAAUAUUGCACAAUGGGCGCAAGCCUGAUGCAGCCAUGCCGCGUGUAUGAAGAAGGCCUUCGGGUUGUAAAGUACUUUCAGCGGGGAGGAAGGGAGUAAAGUUAAUACCUUUGCUCAUUGACGUUACCCGCAGAAGAAGCACCGGCUAACUCCGUG